rnacentral:rRNA from 1 species
GACGAACGCUGGCGGCGUGCUUAACACAUGCAAGUCGAACGGAAAGGCCCUGCUUUUGUGGGGUGCUCGAGUGGCGAACGGGUGAGUAACACGUGAGUAACCUGCCCUUUACUUUGGGAUAACUUCAGGAAACUGGGGCUAAUACCGGAUAGGAGCUCCUGCUGCAUGGUGGGGGUUGGAAAGUUUCGGCGGUUGGGGAUGGACUCGCGGCUUAUCAGCUUGUUGGUGGGGUAGUGGCUUACCAAGGCUUUGACGGGUAGCCGGCCUGAGAGGGUGACCGGCCACAUUGGGACUGAGAUACGGCCCAGACUCCUACGGGAGGCAGCAGUGGGGAAUAUUGCACAAUGGGCGGAAGCCUGAUGCAGCAACGCCGCGUGCGGGAUGACGGCCUUCGGGUUGUAAACCGCUUUCGCCUGUGACGAAGCGUGAGUGACGGUAAGGGGUAAAGAAGCACCGGCUAACUACGUG